GUGUGUGUUCCAGGUAAAUCCGGUUCACUUUAACACUGAGGCGUGAUGACGAGGCACCACGGUGCUGAAGCAACAAAUGCCCUGCUUCCAGGAAAAGCCUCUAAGCCUCAGGUAACAUCAAAUCGUACCCCAAACCGACACAGGUGGUCAGGUAGAGAAUACCAAGGCGCUUGAGAGAACUCGGGUGAAGGAACUAGGCAAAAUGGUGCCGUAACUUCGGGAGAAGGCACGCUGACACGUAGGUGAAGUGGUUUACCCAUGGAGCUGAAGUCAGUCGAAGAUACCAGCUGGCUGCAACUGUUUAUUAAAAACACAGCACUGUGCAAACACGAAAGUGGACGUAUACGGUGUGACGCCUGCCCGGUGCCGGAAGGUUAAUUGAUGGGGUCAGCGCAAGCGAAGCUCCUGAUCGAAGCCCCGGUAAACGGCGGCCGUAACUAUAACGGUCCUAAGGUAGCGAAAUUCCUUGUCGGGUAAGUUCCGACCUGCACGAAUGGCGUAAUGAUGGCCAGGCUGUCUCCACCCGGGACUCAGUGAAAUUGAACUCGCUGUGAAGAUGCAGUGUACCCGCGGCAAGACGGAAAGACCCCGUGAACCUUUACUAUAGCUUGACACUGAACACUGGUCCUUGAUGUGCAGGAUAGGUGGGAGGCUUUGAAGUGUGGACGCCAGUCUGCAUGGAGCCAUCCUUGAAAUACCACCCUUUAAUGGCUGGUGUUCUAACGUGGGCCCGUGAACCGGGUUGCGGACAGUGUCUGGUGGGUAGUUUGACUGGGGCGGUCUCCUCCUAAAGAGUAACGGAGGAGCACGAAGGUUGGCUAAUCCUGGUCGGACAUCAGGAGGUUAGUGCAAUGGCAUAAGCCAGCUUGACUGCGAGCGUGACGGCGCGAGCAGGUGCGAAAGCAGGUCAUAGUGAUCCGGUGGUUCUGAAUGGAAGGGCCAUCGCUCAACGGAUAAAAGGUACUCCGGGGAUAACAGGCUGAUACCGCCCAAGAGUUCAUAUCGACGGCGGUGUUUGGCACCUCGAUGUCGGCUCAUCACAUCCUGGGGCUGAAGUAGGUCCCAAGGGUAUGGCUGUUCGCCAUUUAAAGUGGUACGCGAGCUGGGUUUAGAACGUCGUGAGACAGUUCGGUCCCUAUCUGCCGUGGGCGCUGGAAGAUUGAGGGGGGCUGCUCCUAGUACGAGAGGACCGGAGUGGACGCAUCACUGGUGUU
rnacentral:rRNA from 1 species